CAACAACAGUAAACAUCGCAUUCAAGUUGUUGCCUGGAACGAAGAAAUUGAUCGUAUAAAUUUUUAUAUACAACCAAAUCGAAUUGUGCAUAUUGAUGGUGCUAAGGCUAAAAAGGUAAAAAUACCUGAAUUCAACCAAGGGACACUUCAAUACGAACUAAUUAUUCGAUCCAACACGACAAUAAAUACGUUGGGUAAUUUUGACCUAAAAAAAACAUUCAAGCGGUGCAACCACAAUUAGUGGAAUUGUGUGAUGUACCUCAACAUCUUAAUGCAUGCAUUAUUAUACGUGGAUACAUUAAAACGAAUUUUAAUAAAUUUCUAAAUAGUUUUAAAACAAUUGGCUGCGGAUCCAUUACAGAUAAGAUGUAUAAAUUGGA